UACGGAGGGUGCAAGCGUUUAUCCGGAUUCACUGGGUUUAAAGGGUGCGUAGGCGGGCAGGUAAGUCCGUGGUGAAAUCUCUGAGCUUAACUCAGAAACUGCCAUGGAUACUAUUUUGUCUUGAAUUUUUGUUGGAGGUAAGCGGAAUAUGUCAUGUAGCGGUGAAAUGCUUAGAUAUGACAUAGAACACCAAUUUGCGAAGGCAGCUUACUACACAGAUAUUUACGCUGAGGCACGAAAAGCGUGGGGGAUCAAACAGGAUUAGAAAACCCCUGG
rnacentral:rRNA from 1 species